rnacentral:rRNA from 1 species
UCGAGGAUAUUUCGCAAUGCCCGAAAGGGUGACUAUGCGACGCCGCGUGUGCGAUGAAGGUCUUCGGAUCGUAAAGCACUGUCAACCGGGAGGAACCUCAUAAGGGUGAAUAACCCUGGUGGGUGACAGUACCGGUGGAGGAAGCCACGGCUAACUCCGUGCCAGCAGCCGCGGUAAUACGGAGGUGGCAGGCGUUACUCGGAUUGAUUGGGGGUAAAGGGCGUGUAGGUGGUUAAUUAAGUCGGGUGUGAAAUCCCAUGGCUCAACCAUGGAACUGCAUUCGAAACUGAUUAGCUUGAGUGACAGAGAGGAAAGUGGAAUUCCCGGUGUAACAGUGAAAUGUGUAGAUAUCGGGAGGAACACCAGUGGCGAAGGCGACUUUCUGGCUGUCCACUGACACUGAAACGCGAGAGCUAGGGGAGCAAACA